rnacentral:ncRNA from 17 species
AACAGUCUUUCUCAGUGUAUCUCCCAUUGACAUUGAGUUCUCCUACAACAGCAGUAACCUCGGUAAAUGCCGAGGUUUUU